rnacentral:sRNA from 1 species
UCCUCUCUGCUUACUGACUGACAUGUGGCUUUAGUCUCCCUGAGGGUAGAGAUUAUUUUCUGUGCUGGGGGAGGCCUAGGAGACAGAGUUUGGAUAUGGUUUAUUGAUGCUCCCUGUUUCCUCUCUUCAGACUUCCAUGGAGUCACUGAUUCAUCACUUUAAGUUGUAUACUGAGGGCUACCAAGUUCCUCCAGGAGCCACAUAUACUGCCAUUGAGGCUCCCAAGGGAGAGUUUGGGGUGUACCUGGUGUCUGAUGGCAGCAGCCGCCCUUAUCGAUGCAAGAUCAAGGCUCCUGGUUUUGCCCAUCUGGCUGGUUUGGACAAGAUGUCUAAGGGACACAUGUUGGCAGAUGUCGUUGCCAUCAUAGGUACGAGGCCUAUUGUGUAGUAGAGGUAUCCUAGACAAAGGAGUUCGGGACACCCACU